CGCCCCCCCCCUCCUCCGGCUCCUCCCCUCCCCCUUCCUUCAGCCAAGAAAAUGUACAGGGCUUCUCUAGUUCCAUGGGGUAACUGGGGCAUCUGUCAGGAGGGGUUUGGUGGUCUGGACUGCGUGGCCCUGGGGCUCCCUUCCAGCUCUAGGAUUCCAUAACACACCCAUCAUCUCUUCCUCCAUCCUAUCUAUCUCAAUGUUAUCUAUCCUGUCUAUGGCUGGCUGGCCCUCUGUCGGGAGGGCUUGGAUUGUGUCUCCCUGCCUGGCAGAAAGGGGUUCAGACUGGGUGGCUCUGGGGCUCCCUUCCAACUAUAGGAUUCUAUGGUACACCUAUCUUCUCUCUCUCUCUCCAUCCUCUCUUCUUUCCAUGCUAUCUAUCCUAUCUAUGACUGGCUGGCCCUCUGUUGGGAGGGCUCAGAUUGUGUCUCCCUGCCUGGCAGAAGGGGCUUGGACUAGAUAGCCCUGGUGUAUUCCAUGAUACACCUAUCAUCCCUCUCUCAAUCCUACCUUAUCUCCAUCCUAUCUAUGGCUGGCUGGCCCUCUGUUGAGAGGGCUUGAAUUGUGUCUCCCUGCCUGGCAAAAGGGGUUUGGACUGGAUGGCCCUGGGGCUCCCAACUAUAGGAUUCUAUGAUAUACCCAUCAUCUCUCUCUCUCUUUCUCUCUAUCUUAUCUUCUUUUCAUGUUAUCUAUCCUAUCUAUGGCUGGCUGGCCCUCUGUCGGGAGGGCUCGGAUUGUGUCCCCCUGCCUGGCAAAAGGGGUUCAGACUGCAUGGCCCUGGGGCUUCCUUCCAACUAUAGGAUUCUAUGGUACACCCAUCAUCUCUCUCUCUCUCCAUCCUCUCUCUCUCUAUUCUAUCUUCUUUCCUUGCUGUCUAUCCUAUCUAUGGCUGGCUGGCCCUCUGUCGGGAGGGCUUGGAUUGUGUCCCCCUGCCUGGCAAAAGGGGUUCAGACUGCAUGGCCCUGGGGCUUCCUUCCAACUAUAGGAUUCUAUGGUACACCCAUCAUCUCUCUCUCUCUCCAUCCUCUCUCUCUCUAUUCUAUCUUCUUUCCUUGCUGUCUAUCCUAUCUAUGGCUGGCUGGCCCUCUGUCGGGAGGGCUCGGAUUGUGUCCCCCUGCCUGGCAAAAGGGGUUCAGACAGCAUGGCCGUGGGGCUUCCUUCCAACUAUAGGAUUCUAUGAUAUACCCAUCAUCUCUCUCUCUCUUUCUCUCUAUCUUAUCUUCUUUUCAUGUUAUCUAUCCUAUCUAUGGCUGGCUGGCCCUCUGUCGGGAGGGCUUGGGUGGUGUCCCCCUGCCUGGCAAAAGGGGUUCAGACUGCAUGGCCCUGGGGCUUCCUUCCAACUAUAGGAUUCUAUGGUACACCCAUCAUCUCUCUCUCUCUCCAUCCUCUCUCUCUCUAUUCUAUCUUCUUUCCUUGCUGUCUAUCCUAUCUAUGGCUGGCUGGCCCUCUGUCGGGAGGGCUCGGAUUGUGUCCCCCUGCCUGGCAAAAGGGGUUCAGACAGCAUGGCCGUGGGGCUUCCUUCCAACUAUAGGAUUCUAUGAUAUACCCAUCAUCUCUCUCUCUCUUUCUCUCUAUCUUAUCUUCUUUUCAUGUUAUCUAUCCUAUCUAUGGCUGGCUGGCCCUCUGUCGGGAGGGCUUGGGUGGUGUCCCCCUGCCUGGCAAAAGGGGUUCAGACUGCAUGGCCCUGGGGCUUCCUUCCAACUAUAGGAUUCUAUGGUACACCCAUCAUCUCUCUCUCUCUCCAUCCUCUCUCUCUCUAUUCUAUCUUCUUUCCUUGCUGUCUAUCCUAUCUAUGGCUGGCUGGCCCUCUGUCGGGAGGGCUUGGAUUGUGUCCCCCUGCCUGGCAAAAGGGGUUCAGACUGCAUGGCCCUGGGGCUUCCUUCCAGCUAUGGGAUUCUGUGAUACACCUAUCUUCUCUCUCUCUCCAUCCUAUCUUAUCUCCAUCCUAUCUAUGGCUGGCUGGCCCUCUCUUGGGAGGGCUCAGAUUGUGUCUCACUGCCUGGCAAAAGGGGUUCAGACUGCAUGGCCCUGGGGCUCCCUUCCAACUAGAGGAUCCUAUCAUACACCUAUCAUCUCUCUCUCUCUCAAUCCUGUCUAUGACUUGGCUGGCCCUCUGUCAGGACAGCUUGGAUUGUCUCCCUGCCUGGCAGAAGGGGGUUGGACUAGAUGGCCCUGGCGUUCCAUUCCCGCUCUAGGAUUCCAUGAUACACCUAUCAUCUCUCUCUCUCAAUCCUAUCUAUGGCUGGCUGGCCCUCUGUUGGGAGGGCUCAAAUUAUGUCUCACUGCCUGGCAAAAGGGGUUCGGUCUGCAUGGCCCUGGGGCUCCAUUCCAGCUAUAGGAUUCUAUGAUACACCUAUCUUCUCUCUCUCUCCAUCCUAUCUAUGGCUAGCUGGCCCUCUGUCGGGAGGGCUUGGAUUGUGUCUUCCUGCCUGGCAGAAGAGGAUUGGACUGGGUGGUCCUUGGGCUCCGUUCUGACUCUAGGAUGCUAUGAUUUGAAGAACAAGGGCAUCAUCUGUUCCUCUCUUUCUUUCUGCCCUCUGGAGGUUUGGAAGCAGAGGCUGGAGGGGAGGAAUUGUUGAAUCGGACAGCCCUCGGGGUCUCUUGACUAGGAUUCUGAGAUGCAACAAGGCAAAACCAAAAGCAUUGACCCACUUAUGAGCCACAAAGAGAGAUUGUGCUCCCAGGUCUGGAUAUCAGAGGUUGGGUUUCCUGUGAUGAUGUUGGAAGAUGCUCCUCCGUCAGUGAGAUGGAAGCCAUCCUUCCUGCAAAACCGUGGCCACAUUACAGCCCUGCCACGGGAACCACGUAUCCCAGUGACGCCCUCGACUCAGGCUCCCAAGACAAGAAGCACAAGCGAGGCGGCUUGCAACCGGAGUGGAACCAUCUCCUGGGAGCGUGCAUCAAUAUUUCAAGGCGCAGCAAGAAACAGCAAGACGAUCCUGAUGAAGCAAAAAACGCAGACCAGACCUUAAGAGUUUGAGAUUUUCCCAGGUUCUUCAGCGGUGGAGCUCAGGAUAGAUGUGUGGAUACAGAGUUCUUUCCUGGACUGCCUCCAACCCCAUGGAUCCAGGCAGGGCAACACAUGGGUUACAUGCCUUGGGUGCAGUCGAGCCUCUUUUUUACAUAAACCAAUCUAUGUAAUGCUGAUAAAAUGAACACCAAGAAGGCUUAACAAGUUACUCAUCAUUUAAUAAGCAUUUCACCACACUGUACUGUUCCCAAAGAUUACAGGGUUGAUUUAUUAUUAUUUUUAAAAAGAACAAAAAGCAAAAGAUACAGAGUGGAAUGCACAGAAACAGGUGAACAGCGUUCCCUGUUGUUGGAGAUUGUUUUCGAGGCUUAAAAAAUAAACGUAACUGUGAAACCUAACUCGCACACAAGUUAUUGGCUUACAGGAGGCCUCUUAGGCUUUCAGGUCUUUGGGUGUCCAACUCCCAGAAGCCUUGGCUAGCUUUGUUCAAUGGUCGGGGAUUCUGGGAGAAGAAGUGCCAAACACCCGGAGGACCAAACAUUGAAGAGGCCUGGGUUACAAACUUUCCGAACUGGCAAAAAUAGCCCCAUAGGAAGCUUUUGCACCUUCUCCCAGAAUAUGGGAAAAGGAGCAAAAGCAUCAAAUCCUGCCUCUGUCUGUGCUGACUCUUAGCUACUUCAUGGCAUCCUUCUCGCAAAGGAAAAUGCCCCACAAGACACCCCUCAAUGCAUCUCCAAAAGCUGUGACACCCCCUUCCCCUUGCUUGGGUAUUACAAGAAGAGACAGAAAGUUUUUAAAAUAAUGGCUUUAAUUGUCAUUUUAAAGUAUACGGGAGGAAAAGUGUGCUCCCAAUAAAAUAUACAUCAUACCAGUGAGGCUGGCAAAAGGUUGAGAGUGAUCUCCAAAGUUUGACAACAGAACAUGUGUACGUGACGAGGAGGAGAAAAAAGCAAUCCCUUUGAAACGCAACAAAAAAAGAAAACAGAAAGACAUUCACAGUGGUCUCUACAAACAAUAUGUAGCCUGACAGCAAUACGUUUCCUAGCCUUGGAGCACACUAGUGUCGCUUGAGGUCCUAAAAAGAAAAGCAGGCAUCGCACACCACCCGGCGUCAGUGGCAGGGAUGCCCCAAAUGGCAGGAGAAGGGGCCGUGGAGUCUACAGCGGGGACAUCAAGAAGGAAAAGAGUCACCAUUUCUCUCCAAACCAAUACAGUUUGUUUACAAAAACUCUUUUCGAGAGGCAAGAGCCUCCUUUGCUGUGACAACCAACCAAAGCCAUCCAUCAAAAUGAACAGAAAAAACCACAAACACAUUUAAAUUCUAGUCUUAGCAAGCUGACCGAUACAUGUUACCGUUUCUUUUAAAAAAUUGAGAUUAUAUACUAUAGUACAAGUCCCAACUAGGCCGGGGCCAGGAGUGAUUAUUUCUUUGCUUGUUUCGUGAUCAUCCCCCGGGGGGGUGUUACAGGUCGGCUAGCGUUGGGCUUCUUCUUCUCGGCUGGCUUCAAGAUCUGCAAGGAGAAGGCAAAGGUCUUUUUAGCAAAGGAGUCUGAGAAGGCAUGCUUGAACAUAUGGAUGGCCAUCAGGAAAGCACACCUCCAACUUGAUAGUAUACAUUUACUGCUAUUAUUAUUUAUUUACUUUUAUCUCAUGUAUUGGACUCAAAGUGGCGUACAAAAAGCAAAAAAGGCUACAUAAUAAUACAAUAUAAUAAUAUUAAUUAUAUAUUAAAUGUAAUAUUACUAAUACAGUAGUGUCUUACUUAUCCAACGUUCUGGAUUAUCCAAUGCAUUUUUGUAGUCAAUGUUUUCAAUGCAUUGUCAUAUUUUGGUACUAAAUUUGUAAGUACAGUAAUUACUACAUCGCAUUAAUGUGUACUGAACUACUUUUUCUGACAAAUUUGUUGUAUAACAUAUUUUUAUGCUUAAUUUGUAAAAUCAUAACCUAUUUUGAUGUUUAAUAGGCUUUUUCUUAAUCUCUCAUUAUCCAACAUAUUCGCUUAUCCAACGUUCUGUCGGCCCGUUUAUGUUGGAUAAGUGAGACUCUACUGUAAUAUAGUAGAGUCUCACUUAUCCAAGCCUCACUUAUCCAAGCCUCUGGACAAUCCAAGCCAUUUUUGUAGUCAAUGUUUUCAAUAUAUCAUGAUAUUUUGGUGCUAAAUUUGUAAAUACAGUAAUUACAACAUAACAUUACUGUGUAUUGAACUACUUUUUCUGUCAAAUUUGUUGUCUAACAUGAAGUUUUGGUGCUUAAUUUGUAAAAUCAUAACUUAAUUUGAUGUUUAAUAGGCUUUUCCUUAAUCCUUCCUUAUUAUCCAAGAUAUUUGCUUAUCCAAGCUUCUGCUGGCCCGUUUAGCUUGGAUAAGUGAGACUCUACUGUAUUACCAUAUAAUGAUAUAAUACAAUAUAGUAAUUUAAUGCUUAUAUUGUGCUAUGCUAAUAAUAUAUUAUAUGUACACUUGAUUUGUAAGCCGCUCUGAGUCCCCUUUGGUGUGAGAAGAGCGGGAUAUAAAUUUAGUAAAUAAAUAAAUAAAUAAUACAUAAUACAAAAUUUCAUUUCAACCCCAUUCCCACCUCAAGGGCAAAGCAGGCUUUGGGCAGGAGUUCUUCCUCUAAAGCAGGCCCCCUCCAACUCCCAGAAGCCCCGUACAGCUUGUUCAAUGGUCAGGAAUUCUGGGAGAUGGAGUCCAAAGCACCUGGAGGACCGCAGGUUGACAAGGCUUGCUCUAAAGCCUUGCCAUACGCAACGUGGGAAAUUCAAUGAGGGUGGGGAUGCAGCAAGGAUUGAUAACUAUGUUUAUAUUUUUAAUAAAUAUAUAUGAAAACAGAUAAUUGCUUCCUGAGGAGCAGCCUGAAGAGGAAGGUGAGGUGAACGCCAGGCUAUUAAGACGCCUCCCAGGAGAGAAAUCAAUAUGGGAGAAUAGGAGAGGCAACAUUGGAUGGGGAAAAUGCCUGCCAAAACCACCCCCGUGAAAGCCAGCCUAGACCUGACAGAGAGAGAAUGAAGGCACGUUAUAAAGUGGCGGUGGUAAAGCUUAGGUGGUCCUUCAAGCCAAAUGUCAGCAGGGCUUUAAGGCUCAACGCCCACACCCUGAAUUGAGAACCCGUUCUUCCUUUCCUCCCCCAUAUGAUUGUGUCUUGCAGAUCGUGCGGCGGGGGUGAGCCACGACUUUCGGGGCAAUCCAAUUCAAGGUGAACCGAUGAUGUCUGCCCUACUUAAUGUAUGCCAGGCGGGCGCUCGGCACAGAUUACAGAGACAGAAUGCGUUGGGAAAGAGCUGGGGCUUACUGUCCCGAACGAUGAAAGACCAGCUCAGAGUGAGAAGUGCCAAGUCUAUGGGGAAAGCGAGGCACGAAGGGCGUACCUGAAAGGAGCACAUCAAAGUCUCAUCCACGCUCAUCAUGGCGCCUGCGUUGUCAAACUCCCCGCAGUAAUUGGGGGCAGAAAACAGGGUGACCAGCUGCCUUUUUGCAAAGAACUCAUAUCCAUCUUCAACCACCUUUGAAAGAAAGAGCAGCAUCCUCAGCCCCCGGCAAAGGCAGCACAUGGGCAUCAUGGCUGGGGAGAGAGUGGGGAGCUCCGCGAUCCCGAGUGCAGACUCUCCACAGCCAAAUACACAUCAUGAGACAGCCUGAGGUAAGCCACCCCAAUCCUCCCCCCCACACUCCAAACUGGGAUGUGCAGGCAAUGUCAAUCUCACUGGAAGUACUAAUGCUAUGAUACUUGAGAAGUGCAUGCUGUUAUGCAUGUAAAGCUCCCAUGAUGAGCCAAUUACCCUUGGAAACAGAGUGGGAGACCCACGUAGCAAGACCGUUCCAUUUACUCCGUUCUCUGCUCCCCUUCUGCUAAAUGAGAGGAUGUCGAUGAAAGCUUUGAGCACACCAGAAGUAGUAUAUCAAAUGUAAACAAGGCACUGAAGAGUGGCAGCAUCCUGGCCCACAGAAGCAGUACUCUAGCGGAGAUCUGCUCCUUCUCAAGACUCAUUCAUUUUCCCACCUACGAAACCCACUUGCAUCAAGUGCACUCUUAAUCUGGAGAAGGCAGGCUAGAU